rnacentral:lncRNA from 1 species
GAGGAGGGUCUCUGCCCGGCCACCCAUCGUCUGAGAUGUGAGGAGCCCCUCUGCCCCGCUGCCCAGUCUGGGAAGUGAGGACCGCCUCUUCCCGGCCGCCAUCCCAUCUAGGAAGUGACGCGCGCCUCUGCCCCACCACCCCGUCUGGGAUGUGAGGAGCGCCUCUGCCCGGUCGCGACCCCGUCUGGGAGGUGAGGAGCCCCUCCGCCCGGCAGCCACCCCGUCUGGGAGGUGGGGAGCGUCUCCGCCCAGCAGCCGCCCUGUCCAGGAGGGAGGUGGGGAGUCAGCCCCCGCCCAGCCGGCUACCCCGUCCGGGAGGUGGGGGGCGCCUCUGCCCGGCCGCCCCUUCUGGGAAGUGAGGGGCCCCUCUGCCCGGCCGCCACCCCGUCUGGGAGCUCAUAGUCUGGCAACCAUACUUCCCACUGAUCGCCAGCAAAGGACGGACCCUGCAGCCAGCAUGCAAAGGGUUGCAAAGCAAGGCACGCCUCCGGGUGUGUGGCACGUUCUUUUGAACCCAGUGAACCAUCUUGUUGGAUAAUGGCCUCCAGCUGCAUCCAAGUUGCUGCAAAGGACAUGAUUUCAUUCUUGUUUAUGGCUGCAUAGUAUUCCAUGCUUUAUCUAAUCCACUGUUGAUGGGCACUUGUGUUGAUUCCAUGACCUUGCUAUUGACGUCACCAUUUUUAAAAUAAGACUUUUAUGACUAAGGCUAACUGGCACCACUGCUCAGCUUUUAAAAAUAUAUCCAAUAUUCCUCUUACUCUUCACAAUAUACAUUCAUGUCCACAUGAAUCACUCAUGAAAUCGCUGGUUAUUCCUUACGAAUCGAUUUGGUUUUCUUCCAAAUUGACCCAGGAAUUCUGAAAUUUGGCAGGCCUGCAAAGUGAGGAAGAUGUUACAAUAAUGUACUGUUGGACACUGGAUGCUAAGGUUACUCCAGGUGUCCAACCACGUAUGCAAGAUUUUUUAUCAUUUCAUGUCAAUAGUAUCAAUAAUAUAAAAAUAAGUGGUUGAUUUUAAAAAAAUACACACACAAGUUGUCUAAAGUUUGACAUUUUCCUCUGCCUUCCUGAAAAUAGACACUUUUCAACAUCAUUUAUACCUUAUUUAAGGUAUCGCAUUUGUUGCCCAUGCAGUGUUCGAGAGACCUCAUUCAAAAGAUCUCGUGUUUACCUACCCAUGCUGAGGACCACAAGGUUGAACAGUAACAAUAAAGUCCACUGUGUCCUGUAAUUAAUAUCUCACUUCACUCUGUUUCUUCUCAACUAUGAGUAAAAGAAUUUUAUUCCCCUUCCUUCACAACAAAAAUGUUCUGCAAUUAUAGUUUUCUCUCUUGCUUGUCAAAGAGCUAAACAGGCCAAUCUCACUGGCUUUUUGUAAUUGUCCAAUUUAUUUUAUUUUAUUUUUAAAUUGAGAUAUAAUUAAUAUAUCAUUUAUUAAAAAUCUAUAGUUCAUUUUAAUUUCUAAAGCAAUGUUGUAACUGAAAUAAAUUUAAUAUAUGCUAUUAAGUGUCAUCAUCAUUAGACUGAUACAUUUUAUAGUAUUUUGCUAAGAUUAAGCCUCUUUUGACUACAAUUCCAUUUCCCCACUUAUGCAUCUUCACAGUGGGUUUUUUAAAGCAACAACACAGGCCCACAGUGGUCCACACCUAUAAUCCCAGCACAUUGGGAGGCUGAGACGGGAGGAUCGCUUGAGUUGGAGACCAGCCUGGCAAUAUAGCAAGACUCCUUCUCUAUUAAAAUAAAAAAAAAAAAUUAGCUGGGCAUGGUGGUGGACACCUACAGUCCCAGCCACUCGGGAGGCUGAGGUCAGAGGAUCACCUGAGCCAGGCAGCCACAGCAAGCUAUGAUCACACUGCUGCACUCCAGCGUGGGCAACAGAGCGAAACCUUGUCUUGAAAAAAAAUAAAAUAAAAUAAAAUAAAAUAUUCCCC